rnacentral:rRNA from 1 species
UGGGGAAUAUUGCACAAUGGGCGCAAGCCUGAUGCAGCCAUGCCGCGUGUAUGAAGAAGGCCUUCGGGUUGUAAAGUACUUUCAGCGGGGAGGAAGGGAGUAAAGUUAAUACCUUUGCUCAUUGACGUUACCCGCAUAAGAAGCACCGGCUAACUCCGUGCCAGCAGCCGCGGUAAUACGGAGGGUGCAAGCGUUAAUCGGAAUUACUGGGCGUAAAGCGCACGCAGGCGGUUUGUUAAGUCAGAUGUGAAAUCCCCGGGCUCAACCUGGGAACGGCAUCUGAUACUGGCAAGCUUGAGUCUCGUAGAGGGGGGUAGAAUUCCAGGUGUAGCGGUGAAAUGCGUAGCGAUCUGGAGGAAUACCGGUGGCGAAGGCGGCCCCCUGGACGAAGACUGACGCUCAGGUGCGAAAGCGUGGGGAGCAAACAGG